GGAACUCAACUCUGUUGACCGGGCUGGCCUUGAACACACAGAUUGCUUGUUUCUGCCUUCUGAAAGCUCGGAUUUAAGGUGUUCACUACCAUGAAAAAAGAACACCAACUUUACUAGAACAACAGAAAUUUCCAAUUUCUAAGAAGGAAAAUAACAUGAAGCCAGCGCCACCUGGGAAGUGUCGCAUCACAUUACCGUUCUGAUGGCUCCUGGCCACACUGAGGGUGACGGAAGACCACCACCAUCAUAGCUGCUGCAAGGUCACGCUUUUGCCUGUAGCAGCUUCAUUGUCAAGGCCGCAGAUAGACUCGUUUCGAAGCUUUUGGUGUGGAGAGAAUCUAUCAAUAUAGAGAGCAGAGCCUUGUUUCUCCAACUAGAACAAACUAUGAACUAACCUAGUUUUCUUCCAGUCUGCUAGAGUACUCUGUGAAGACCUCUCUUCCAUCCCCACCAAAAUGGUGAGGGAAAGACAGGGGCAGGGCGCCACUAGCUCUAGCAGGCUGUUCUAAUGGUACGCUGGGCUCGGGUCCCUUUCUGCUGGUGGUAGUAGGUGUCUUUUCUGGCAGCUGCAGCAGCUUGAUGGGGGAGGAAGGAGCCACCCACACAUCACCUAUAUUUUUUGCGUUCAUAGAACGCACCAUUCUCCUGAAUGAUGCACUCUUUACAAUAGUAGGCAUCGGAGACUCCCGGACCUCCACAGAUCACACGCCGGCCCUGUAAUUCCCCCUUAAAGAAUUCCCAGGUGGGACCUGAUCCAUAACGAGGCGAGUGGCCCUCUGCUCUUACCCCACUCCCGUCCAAAGCCCCAUUCACCCCAAUCUCUCUGGGCCUGUGCCUGCUUGGGG
rnacentral:lncRNA from 1 species